rnacentral:misc_RNA from 1 species
CGGCCAUGCAUACCUCUCAAAAAACUUAGAUCAAUGAAGGUUCAUUCCUUUAAGCUCAUUAGAUUUGCAACCACCACACUACAACCAAUAAAAGAAGAAAAACAAUAGAGAGAACCAAUACAUAGAUGCAUCAACAUCCGAAAAAUUCCUCAAUCAGUCACCUCUAACGCACAACAACGAGGAAAAACCCACUGAACCGAGAAUGAGAG